AAAGAGGAAGUCCCAAGGGUGUGUUUUGACAUCCAGGAAUCCUCAUUCCCAUGCAGGUACGGUGGUAACCCAUGCAAGUGACGACCACUGAUCAGAUGCAAUUUCAAGGAUGCCAGAAGUAUCGUUGAAGCUGGCCAAAGGCAAACGGCAGUUUUCAGGUUAAAUCUUUAACAGGAUGUCUGCACGCGUUAAAUAGAUGGAAAGAAUUAGUUUCUCAUUCUUACUUCACUCAUUCAACGAGAAACUCCAUGGUCUGUGGAUGAUGCAAAGCACCUAUAAUCCGUUCUCUAGCAAGAGGAGAUUGAAUAUUCAAGUGCAUGUGAAAUAGGAUGACAGAAGUUGGAAGUCCAAUUGAAAGAGCUGAGUUGGCCUCUCCUGUGGUUUCCACACUCAAUAUCAUGACCACUGCAUUCGAUCCAGUUGGCAAGACCUCUUCCAGUACAGUGAGAGAUAUGAGUUUUACUGCAUUCUAUAAAUAUGACCAUUUAUUUGGCCCAAUGUAUUCAUAUUCCCACUCGUUCAGUGCUCACUUACACUGUCCAAUUUGCUUGACUCAGUCUAUAAAUGUAGUUUGCCUACAUCUGAAACGUCGUCUGGAUGGCUUUAGAGUGACUCCAGCAGACCAGACCAGGUCUCAGGGUCACCCCCAAGCCACAAGUCACACUCUCUCGCUCCUUUUCCUCCCACUCUCAGAAGUACUUAAAUGCAUCAUAUUCCAAAACUUUAUUUGAAUAUUAUUGGAAUGAGAGAACAGAUACUUUAAUAAGGCGAUUUUGUCUUGUUUUAAAAUGUUUUAUUUGCUUGAGAAAGUCAGGAAGUCGGAUUGAUACCAAAAGACCAGAUAUAAACUGUUUGCUGUUUUCUUUGCCGUAAGCUUAACUUUUUAUAUCGCAGAGUAGGAGUCAAGGAAUACCAGUGAGGAACCUCAACGGUUUAACUAAU